UUUCAAAACGCGUGGGCUUCGCCUAGCGAGCAUGACAGUUCAAGAGAUUCCUCUAAGCGUAGGUGAUUCUGGUGGCUUUUCUUGGGACUCGCUAGGCGACCCUUUCUGCUCGCCUAGCGAGCAUGAUAGCUCAUGAACAAACUUUUGCUCCUUCAAGAUUAACGUUUUGACUGAUGAAUAGACCCCAUUUGAACAUGUUGGAAGUAUCUCAAGCCAUUCCCUUGUGUUGACUGAUCA
rnacentral:lncRNA from 1 species